GACGAACGCUGGCGGCGUGCUUAACACAUGCAAGUCGAGCGACGCUCUUCCUUCGGGGAGAUGACGGAGCGGCGAACGGGUGAGUAACACGUGGGCAACCUGCCCCUAGCUCUGGGACAACACCGGGAAACCGGUGCUAAUACCGGAUACGACAUCGAGCGUCAUCUCUCGAUGUGGAAAGUUUUUUCGGCUAGGGAUGGGCCCGCGGCCUAUCAGCUUGUUGGUGGGGUAAUGGCCCACCAAGGCGACGACGGGUAGCCGGCCUGCGAGGGCGACCGGCCGCCCUGGGACUGAGGCACGGCCCAGACUCCUACGGGAGGCAGCAGUGGGGUAUAUUGCGCAAUGGGCGAAAGCCUGAAGCAGCGACGCCGCGUGAGGGAUGACGGCCUUCGGGUUGUAAACCUCUUUCAGCAGGGACGUAUUCAGACGGUACCUGCAGAAGAAGCACCGGCCAACUACGUG
rnacentral:rRNA from 1 species